rnacentral:rRNA from 1 species
AACACGUGGGGAACCUGCCCCAUAGUCUGGGAUACCACUUGGAAACAGGUGCUAAUACCGGAUAAGAAAGCGGAUCGCAUGAUCAGCUUUUAAAAGGCGGCGUAAGCUGUCGCUAUGGGAUGGCCCCGCGGUGCACUAGCUAGUUGGUAAGGUAAAGGCUUACCAAGGCGAUGAUGCAUAGCCGAGUUGAGAGACUGAUCGGCCACAUUGGGACUGAGACACGGCCCAAACUCCUACGGGAGGCAGCAGGU